rnacentral:misc_RNA from 1 species
AACACAAUUGCAACACGCUCAUACAUCUGAAUGUAUAGUAGUAUGACAACAACAAACAGUACAAAUCUCUAGCAAGCUUACCAGCCAAAACUAAGGCCCCUCAUCUCACUAUCAUCUCCAUGAAAAAUAAGAUCCAAUGCUUAUUAUCUGUUCUUUUUCCUCUUCUUUUGGCCAAAACUGUUAUACUUCUCAAUGCAGAGACAGAAGUAUCAGGCCAAAAAAUCUGUACAGGACAGCAAACAAGCACACAUACAAAAACAUAGGAUCUGCCAAGCAAAACUCCCCAGCAGUGUUUUUUGGCAAGAAAAAGAACCCAAAGGUAACAUCUAUGCCUUUAGAAGUAUAUUUGCCUCCACAAUCUAUGAAGCAGCCCUCAAGUCCCCUUCCCCAGUUUCAAAUUCAAGCUUUCCUGGCUGAAUCUUAGAGUCAUCCGAUCCCCUCGAAUCAACGGGCCCAUCACUAGGAUCAGAAGCAGUGCAUUCGAGAGGGUUCUCAAACAAGGACAAAGAGAACUGCUUGUCCACAACACCAACAUCAAAGUAUAUCAAACCAGAGCUGGGGACAUCGACUCGUAUACCCUUAACUUGAAACCAAAGGAAGAGCUCUUGCUGCGACACACCGGAUAAUUCACCGAUCUUCCCAAAGGACAAAAGCCCAGAAAUGUUGAAAUCGUAGUGAAGCUGGUUCUCGAAUUUGGCAUUGCAAGGUUGGGUUAG